AGAUCACAAAGACGGUAAGAAGGAUAAAGCGGGCCGGAGCAUGUCUCUCACAGGUCCUGGACCAGUCAAAGUGAUGGAGUCGUUCUCAUGGGAGGAGUAUUUGAAAGAGACGUCGUCUGAUCCCGCUCCUCCCAGCUGCUUCAGACAGUCUCGGAUUCCUCCCUCCAACGACUUCAAGGUGGGAAUGAAGCUGGAGGCCCGGGACCCUCGUAACUCCACCUCCAC